rnacentral:tRNA from 1 species
GCGGAUAUGGUGAAGAGGUUAACACAAGCGGCUGUGAACCGCUCAUUCGUGGGUUCGAGCCCCAUUAUCCGCCCCA